rnacentral:misc_RNA from 1 species
AUUGGGUUCUAGUUUAUUAUUAUGAUUAUUAUUUCUUAGUUAACAGUGCUCAUAUUAUUUUAUAUGCCUUGAUUGGAAGUUGUAGUAAGUUCAUGAUGCUUUUACCACUUUCACUUUUGUUUAUGCAUUUGUAUUUUCUUUUUCAUAAUGGUUCUUUUUCUGACCCCACUUGUCAUUCAAUCAAUGCUAGAAGUUAGAAAAUAAGUUCAAGUAAUGUUUGACUGCAGUUGAAGUUAAAAUGAUUUGUUUCUUGAGGUGGAAAUUUGAUUGGAUGCAAG